GGAAAGAUCAGAGUCUGCACAGAUAAAGACACACACUCUCACUCACACUCUCUGAGGGGGCGUGUCCAGGUCUGGGGGAAAGGUGAGACAGAGCCCAGAGAACCAAUGAGAGAAAAGAGGUGAUCAUGGUCAUACACAUGAGGGGAGAGGAGGGGAGGAGAGAGGGGAGGGGGUCCUGGUGCUGACAUCAAACCACUGCAGGAGGGGAGAACACACACACACACACACACACACAUUUGGCAGUUUCUGUGCGAUAUAACAAUGGUCAGGAUUAUAAUCUCUGAUGAGUCUGGAUUAUUUGAAUUAUUAUGAAACAACGUGAAGAUCACGGACCGUGAAGGCCUCACAGGAACUUCACGUCACAGUCACAGACUGGAACUUUGUUUGGCUGUAAACGUCUGUGCUGCAUUCACUGACCACAUCAACAAUGGAGGCUGUGUGAGACUGUCCUGUCCUAGAACAUCAGGGACGGGUUCAACGGAGAACCGAUCAACAACUGUGUUUGGGAAUGUAACGAUUCAUCCUGGUGUUUAUCCAUGUCACUAGAGGGCGACAAACACCAGUAAACCACACCGCCCCAGGGUCACAUGUCACUGGUGCUGUGAACAACAGUGGACCUGGUGAAGAGUUGGACCAGGAGACAAUAGUCCAGUGUUUGGUCCAACACAAAAUGUAACAUUGUUGGUACUUCAGUGGUCAUGUGACGGCUGACUUCUACAGCUAACACACACACACACACACAAACAGUGCUCCUGUGUGUGUGUGUGUGUGUGUGUGUCAGGGCUCUGAGGCCCAUAAGCCCUGGUUUCCUGUUUACUCAGCCCAGCAGAUCAGGCUCCAGUGGGCGUGGUUACUGUUAGAGACAGUUGUCAGGGGGAUGAAGGAGAGAGAGAGAGACAGAGAGAGCACAGCAAAAACACAAGUGUUUUCUGUCCAACCACCUGGUGACGUCAAAGAGAACGUCCUGUUCUUCAGACCCUGUUGUUGACCCUGUGAUGGACAGUGUACCAGUUGUGACCACACCCUCACCUGGUAACUGCUGGGAUGGCUCCUGCCAGAUGUAUGAGUGAAUGGUAGCUGAUGCUGACCUUUGACCUUUACCAACAUCUGGCUUCACCUCUAAUCAAGAAGCCAAAAUCAGUGAACAUCUGCAGGACUUCCAGGUCACUCCAGUAGAUUCUUCUCUCUUAUAAGUAUAUAGUAAUAUAUAUAUAGUAAUUGUAUAUAGUAAUUCUCUAAUCAUCAGAGUUCUGCAGCAGAGAGAACAGGUGUCUCUGGUUCUGUUUCCUGUUCGCAGGACCAAGACUCCACCCCCGUCCUCGGUGUCUGUCCAUUUGUUUCCUGCAUUCAGUCAAUAAAAACCCAGACAGGCGGAGGAUGAAACAUCAUUUAUUCUUUUUGGUUUACAAACAAAGGCACCGUGGUGCUGGUUCUCAGGACCUGGACCUGGACCUGGAGCUGGACCUGGAGCUCUGUUGUUGGACAGUGUGAUGUAAAAAGGUUGAAAACCCCCAGAGGACGCUCCAAGUGUAGCCUAGGCUAAGAUCAACAGUAAAAAAAGACAGUGAUGCUACGUGGUUCGUCCUGAGCGGAAUACAAGACUAAAACAAUCAUGGUAACCAUGACGACCAAACUGGAGAGCAGCAGGUUAUGGGUUCUAAAGGCCCACCUCUGCAGUGGAGACCAACCAUCAGACGCACACACACACAGGCGCACACACACACAUACAUACACACAUGUACGCACACAUAAUAAAUAUGUCUGUGGUUGUGAUGUUCUACCCAAACUCAGAAAACAAAGUUCUGAUUUAUGUCUCAUCAAGUCCAUUGAGAAAA